CGGGUGAGUAACGCGUAGGAACAUGCCUUAAAGUGGGGGACAACUUGGGGAAACUCAAGCUAAUACCGCAUAAUCUCUGAGGAGAGAAGCUGGGGACCUUUUAGGCCUAGCGCUUUAAGAUUGGCCUGCGUCUGAUUAGCUAGUUGGUAGGGUAAAGGCCUACCAAGGCGACGAUCGGUAGCUGGUCUGAGAGGAUGGCCAGCCACACUGGGACUGAGACACGGCCCAG
rnacentral:rRNA from 1 species